UACGUAGGGCGCAAGCGUUAUCCGGAAUUAUUGGGCGUAAAGAGCUCGUAGGCGGUUUGUCGCGUCUGCUGUGAAAACUCGAGGCUCAACCUCGGGCUUGCAGUGGGUACGGGCAGACUAGAGUGCGGUAGGGGUGACUGGAAUUCCUGGUGUAGCGGUGGAAUGCGCAGAUAUCAGGAGGAACACCGAUGGCGAAGGCAGGUCACUGGGCCGCAACUGACGC
rnacentral:rRNA from 1 species